rnacentral:rRNA from 1 species
UACAGAGGGUGCAAGCGUUGUUCGGAAUUAUUGGGCGUAAAGCGCGUGUAGGCGGCUUAGCAAGUCGGGUGUGAAAUCCCUCAGCUCAACUGAGGAAGUGCGCCCGAAACUGCAGAGCUUGAGUGCCGGAGAGGGUGGCGGAAUUCCCCAAGUAGAGGUGAAAUUCGUAGAUAUCGGGAGGAACACCGGUGGCGAAGGCGGCGACCUGGGUCGAGACUGACGCUGAGGAGCGAAAGCCAGGGGAGCAAACGGG